UAAAAGUAGAUUUAAAUGGUGAUUUACAUUGAUAAUGGGUCUUAAUUUACAUUUCAUCCAAACGCAUACAAAAGUGGACUACAUUGUAAAAUUACAUCUAACCGAGAACAGAAACUGAAUUGGAUGAUGACAGGGAAGGUGACUAAUUGGACUCCGGAUCUCUUGCCAAUUUAUAUUAGUGCCGGAACACUCGCAGUAUAAAUAGACUUUCAAAGGGUUACCUCAAUUCAAACAAAUCUGGUUUCAUGGGCAUCCGUGAUUUAUUGGCAUGCUCAAAGGGUUCAACUUGAGGAAGUCUUUUGGUGCUUUGAGUUGCUACUUGAUGUAGGUGCACAUGGCAGGCUCAAUGACAUAGGCGCACAUGGCAGGCCCAAGAUGGUGAUGCAUGGCACAAGUUAGAUCGCAUCCUCUGGCAGUUUAUUCAUAACAAACUUCAGGCAGGUUCAAGUAUAAAUAAGUGGUGUCACUCCCUAGGUAAGUUAUUUUGGCUUCUACUGCUCUAAGUUUUUUAGCUCUUUGGUGACCUUGUCUGAACUAUCUCUACUCAAGCCUCGUCCAAUCCUUUGCUACGCCCUUGCUAACUUGACCGUCGGAGUUUCCACCCCUGGGAUAACACCUAGGGCUUCUAACGUCUUCCUUUGCUCAUAGGUCGGACCUUGAAGCUUUUGGCUCUAUCAGCCCUCGGACUCAGCCAGUCCUCGUCUACAAAAAUAAAAUUACAUUAUUACCCUCGACCCAUCAUUGAUAACAACACUACUCAAAUCAGAGAUAAUGGAGGAGGUAGAUGAAGGAAUAUACAAUGAAUGUGAGCAUGAUGAUCUGCUUGCAAAGAAGGAACUAAUUGGAUUGAAGAUAAAGACCAAACGGUGGAAGAUCAACAUUGUGGGCAUUAUGGCAUAGGAUUAUGAAGGGUUAAGACUUUGGUGACUAUCUUAGGUUUAGUAAAUCAGAUUUUAUAGCUUCUGAAACAGUCUAAAAAAUGCUCUACUUCAAAAUUAGCCUGCAUACAGUCAGCAACUUCCACUUCCUGGAUACUAAUUUAUUGAAAAGGUUCAUGAUUCUCUAGUUUGGAAGCAAGAAUUCAAAAUUAGCCUUGUUGGCUAGGAAAAUAAGUUCCUGCAAAAGAAUGAAUUGAGCCGGUUUGGAGUCACCAAAGGUUGGAGAUUUUGCUAAGAGUGUGAUAUCUUAUGAUUUAAUUGAUAGCAGCUAAAUAUGGAACUAGACACAAGGGUUUGGAGUUGCCAGAGGUUGGACCAUGAUAUUGGUUGUGCAGUUUGGAAGGUCAUUUGAAGUGCUUAUUUCUUAUUUCAUUAGAGGAAUUGGUUUUGGUGUCACUGGUUACUUUCUCCAUAGCUACAAGUGAAGCAUUGGUUCUGGCUUUCUAUGAGACAUGGCCCCUAUGUGGCAGGAGUGAGGAUUUGGCUGUAUGGAUGUCAAUACUCCGAUCUAACACUGCAAGACCAAAUAAAAGAGAAACUUUGAUCAAGCCCAAGUGUGGGAUCACCAAAUUCUGUUAAAAGCGGCAUUUAUAAUCUGGACAACAUUUAUAUGUAAUUUCUAACUAAAGAUAAGUUGGUGGCCUGUGGUAUCGAUAUCUCCAAUUUGGGCUGCAAAUGCAAAUGCUGACCAUAUUUUCAUUCAUUGCAAGAUAAGCAUGGGUUUUAGAAACAUUUUCUCAAGAUCUUUUUUAGUGUAUUGGUGCUUCAGAAGGAUGUCAAAGGAAACUGUUGAGUGCUGAAAUAUAACAAAGAUUAGUGAAAAAAUGAAUCUUUAAGGAUUAUCAUUUCACUUGCUACAAUUUGGGUAAUAUUUUGGGGGAUGGGGGGAUGAAGCAGAAUUUUUUAAAACAAAGCAUCUCUUAUUAUUCUUUUGUUUUAUAUUAUGCAACUUGUAGAUAAAAUCAGUUUUAGUAUUUGGGUAAUACUUCUUGUACAGGGGCAUUAGGCAAUGUUACUGUAGCAUAAAUUGGUUUGUUGCUGAAUUUCAUGUUUAAUCAGAUAUAGUUUUCCCAUUCCAAAAUGAGCAUUGUUAGUGGUUACAUCCAGUGCAUGAUUUUCUGUUCCUUGCAUUUGAAUUGCAACCAUCUUCACAUAACCAUUCAUUGAUUGCAAGAAAAAGCUGUGAUUGAUGUGUACACUCUACUAGACAAAAGGUGUGCCAUUUUGCAAGUAAUACCCAAGGAAGAUUUCAAAUUCUAACAGCAAAUCUUUCUUUAGAUCUGGUGAAUCUCCCCUGUGCUUUGAUCAAGGGAUAGUGCUUGGAAUUCCAGAAAGAAAAACACCUGCAUACACCUAAAUGCUCUGCAAGUUGUUGGAAUGUGUUUCGAUUUUCAACACUCAUGCCCACAGGCAAUGUAGCCCAUUACAUUGGUGGGUAUAGAUGUUACAUGUGAUUCUGUUUCGAAGGUUGACAACUCAUGGGCACCUAAGAACAUGCUUUCCCAAUAAUUUUCCUUGUUGAUAUAAUGAUGAUAAUGACAAAGUGAAGUCUUAUCAGACUGAUGGAUUUAAAUUACUGUGAGAUCAUUUGGUUUGCAUCCUGAAACUUGGUUGGAAUUCAGAAUGAUAAUUCUAAGACUAGACCCUGUAAAGUUCCAUAAAACUUGCAGUACUGACUACUGAGGUUCUGAUCAUUCUGUCAAAAUCCACUGUCCAAAAUCCCAGAAUCAGGUUGAAAGUUUAGGCUACACUGUAACUGAUUACAGAGUCUGCACAUUGGAUUCGAACCAAAUGCCUUGUGGUUGGGGUUUCGAACAGAACCCUGAGGUUUGAGCUUCCUGAAUCCUGAACAGCCAUGAGCCUACAACUUUUAAGCUUCUACAGCCACUUCAAACCCUGACCUCUUCAGUGCAGUUAACUCGGAGCUUUGUGCUAUUGUACUGGAACCCAUUUCUUUUUAGUGGGAAAACUUUCACAAUACAAAGUAAUGGUACAUGCACUACCACCAAUUCGUACACAGAACGGAAUAAAAAUCAAGGAGGUGGGGCUCUCUCCCUUUUGUACAAUAGAAAGAGUUCCAACUAUU